AACGAACGCUGGCGGCACGUUUUAAGCAUGCAAGUCGAAUGGCAGUGGGGGCAACCCCAUGAGAAUGGCGAACGGGUGAGUAACACGUAGGUGAUCUGCCUGACGGAUGGGGAUAGCUUGUGGAAACACAGGGUAAUACCGAAUGAGCUGACGAGACUUUGGUUUUGAUAGUAAAGGUGCUACGGCACCGCCGACAGAGGAGCCUGCGGCUGAUCAGCUAGUUGGAGGGGUAAAGGCCUACCAAGGCGACGAUCAGUAGCCGGCCUGAGAGGGUGUACGGCCACACUGGGACAGAGACACGGUCCAGACUCCUACGGGAGGCAGCAGCUAAGAAUCUUCCGCAAUGGGCGAAAGCCUGACGGAGCGAUGCCGCGUGAUCGAUGAAGGUCGAGAGAUUGUAAAGAUCUUUUCUACAUGAGGAAUAAGUCUGGGAGGGAAUGCCUGGAUGAUGACGUUAGUGUAGGAAUAAGCCCCGGCUAAUUACGUGCCAGCCGCCGCGGUAA
rnacentral:rRNA from 1 species